rnacentral:rRNA from 1 species
AGUGAACGCUGGCGGUAGGCCUAACACAUGCAAGUCGAACGGCAGCACAGUAAGAGCUUGCUCUUACGGGUGGCGAGUGGCGGACGGGUGAGGAAUACAUAGGAAUCUACUUUUUCGUGGGGGAUAACGUAGGGAAACUUACGCUAAUACCGAAUACGACCUACGGGUGAAAGCAGGGGAUCUUCGGACCUUGCGCGAUUGAAUGAGCCGAUGUCGGAUUAGCUAGUUGGCGGGGUAAAGGCCCACCAAGGCGACGAUCCGUAGCUGGUCUGAGAGGAUGAUCAGCCACACUGGAACUGAGACACGGUCCAGACUCCUACGGGAGGCAGCAGUGGGGAAUAUUGGACAAUGGGCGCAAGCCUGAUCCAGCCAUACCGCGUGGGUGAAGAAGGCCUUCGGGUUGUAAAGCCCUUUUGUUGGGAAAGAAAAGCAGCAGGUUAAUACCCCGCUGUUCUGACGGUACCCAAAGAAUAAGCACCGGCUAACUUCGUG